rnacentral:rRNA from 1 species
CUACGGGUGGCACCAGUGGGGAAUAUUGCACAAUGGAGGAAACUCUGAUGCAGCAACGCCGCGUGGAGGAUGACACUUUUCGGAGCGUAAACUCCUUUUAUAUAGGAAGGAGAUGACGGUACUAUAUGAAUAAGCGCCGGCUAACUCCGUGCCAGCAGCCGCGGUAAUACGGAGGGCGCAAGCGUUACUCGGAAUCACUGGGCGUAAAGAGCGUGUAGGCGGAUUAAAAAGUCAGAAGUGAAAUCCUAUAGCUUAACUAUAGAACUGCUUCUGAAACUCUUAAUCUAGAAUAUGGGAGAGGUAGAUGGAAUUUCUGGUGUAGGGGUAAAAUCCGUAGAGAUCAGAAGGAAUACAGAUUGCGAAGGCGAUCUACUAGAACAUUAUUGACGCUGAGACGCGAAAGCGUGGGGGGCAAGCAGGAUUAGAUACCCGUGUAGUC